GCCCGCCUAGCUCAAUCGGAUAGAGCGUCAGACUCUUACUAAGCGGGUGAUCUGAAGGCUGCGAGUUCGACCCUCGCGGUGGGCU
rnacentral:tRNA from 1 species